rnacentral:lncRNA from 1 species
AGGCAAGGCCAAGGCUUCUUGAAAGGCUGGUCAUGCCCCAGUGAUCAAUGAAGAACUCAGGGAUAUCCCAAAACUCAGGACUAUAAGGCACAAUGGGGGAGCAGGUACCAGGUGGCCAGCAUCCUAAAUGACUCUCAGCAGCUGCAGAGAAGACCAUAAUGGAUGGAUAUAUAGGCUGACGUAUAUCAGUUGGCUUCAGUUGUUUGGUGAUAUUCACCAGAUCUAUAUUUUGCUAUUUUAUGGAUAUUAUUUUCAAUUUCUGAGUGUAAAUAACAAGAGCUGCCUAUAAAUCUACCUCAGAAGACAAAGGGAAAAGCAAAACUCUGCCCAGGAAGACCUUACUUUACAAACCAGGUGACCAAAUUUCUAAAACAUCAUUCCCGUAAUCCCUGAUCAACAGAAAGGAAGCUCUGGAAGCAUGAAUGCUCAACCAUAUUUACCAGCCUUCCUGUGGUCAUUUGUCUGAGCUCCAGCUAGUGAAGUAUGAGUAGAACGGACAUGCACCACUUCCAGACCUGGCACCGGCAAACCCCCCAUGGCAACCCUCCAACCCUUUCCUCAACAACUGGACCACGCUGGAAAGGACUGAGGAUCUAGAGGAGGACAGGGCUGUAAUAUGGAAGGAGUUUGGUUUCUGAAGGACCAUGUAGCAGGCCACCUGCAGGGCGGGAACAUCUUUAAUAGGUUUGGAAUAGCAAGAAAUAAACUGGUCUUGUAUUAAACAACU